rnacentral:tRNA from 1 species
CAAAGCAAAGCAUAAUUAAAUGCAUCUCCUUUACACUGAGAAGAAGGUAUUUAUACCUGCUUUGA